rnacentral:rRNA from 1 species
GGUAUGCACUGGCUUCGCUGGUUCCUCCUUUCUGAAGAACUGUUAUGCCAUUAAUUUGGUGUUGCAGGGAAACAGGACUGUUACUUUGAAAAAAUUAGAGUGUUUAAAGCAGGCUAAGGCUUGAAUACAUUAGCAUGGAAUAAUGAAAUAGGACGUUCGAUCCUAUUUUGUUGGUUUCUAGGAUUGACGUAAUGAUUAAUAGGGAUAGUUGGGGGCAUUAGUAUUCAAUUGUCAGAGGUGAAAUUCUUGGAUUUAUUGAAGACUAACUACUGCGAAAGCAUUUGCCAAGGAUGUUUUCAUUAAUCAAGAACGAAAGUUAGGGGAUCGAAGACGAUCAGAUACCGUCGUGGUCUUAACCAUAAACUAUGCCGACUAGGGAUCGGAUGAUGUUAAUUUUUUAAUGACUCAUUCGGCGCCUUACG